GGCCCGGAGCUGCCCGGUACGUCCGGGUGGGGCGUGAGUGUUCAAACGGGAGCGCAGUACGAACCCGCAUCUCAGCCAGGUAUUCCUUCAUGAAGUUUCUCUUCAGGGAACAGAAGUUCAAUCUAUUCAGCACCCCUUCUUUUACAUGAUCUACUUUAAACCUGAUACAAUGCAGCAUGCUCAGAGAGGACAAUGUUAUUGUUGUUGGCUCUAACACGUCAAAACAACAGUCUUGAAAACUUGUGUCUAAAGAUGUGAUGUCACUAUGUUGACAGCAGAGCAGAGAUGAAGCAUCCUGGUGGAAGCCUUUGGUUUCUCUGCACCCUCUACUGCCUGAAACAGCGCUGUGGGUCCUCACACCUCUCUGAGUCGAUCCUUCCCUUUCCGGAGGUACUACAGCUGUUAGUAUUAUUUCCUAAGACAGUGUGUUUAUCUUGUGAGGAUGUGAAAGGGGAAAAGAUGGGAAACAGUUUUUCUGUGCACUUUAUUGUCAUCCACUGAAGAGCGUUCCCUGAAAUGAAAGUGAACCCUCCGCCAGACUGCCACCUCCUGGUGAGCACUGAGCGCGUUUCUCACGUUACUGCGCCUGCCGCUGCCCUCACGGCUAUCAUCGUUACCUCAGCACGCCCAGCUGCAGAUCCCAGCACGCAGCGCCGGACCGCACUGCAAGCAGCGAACCCUUCCUGGCCCAGCGAUCCUUCCCAACAACUCUGACUGCAGCCGAACCCCGCCGAGGAGCCGCGCUUCCAUACGGGGCUGUUCUCUAUUCAUUUCUAGUUCGUUUUUACAGAUUUUGACUGGGUGAGCUGAGUGCAUGAAGCACUCGUGCAAAAGCAGUUAAGCUUCUGUCCUCUGGC
rnacentral:lncRNA from 1 species